rnacentral:rRNA from 1 species
GACGAACGCUGGCGGCGUGCUUAACACAUGCAAGUCGAACGGAAAGGCCCUGCUUUCGUGGGGUGCUCGAGUGGCGAACGGGUGAGUAACACGUGAGUAACCUGCCCUUGACUUUGGGAUAACUUCAGGUAACUGGGGCUACUAUCGGAUAGGAGCUCCUGCUGCAUUGUGGGGGGUGGAUAGUUUCGGCGGUUGGGGUUGGACUCGCGGGUAUUCAGCUUGCUGGUGGGGGAGUGGCUUGCCAAGUCAUUGGAGGAUAGCCGGCAUGGGAGGGUGGCCGGGCUCAUGGGGACUGAGAGACGGCCCAGACUCCUACGGGGGGCAGCAGUGGGGAAUAUUACACAAUGAGCGGAAGCCGGAUGCGGCAACGCCGCGUGCGGGAUGACGGCCUUCGGGGUGUAAACCGCUUUCGCCUGUGACGAAGCGUGAGUGACGGUAAUGGGUAAAGAAGCACCGGCUAACUACGUG